ACCAACUAACAAACAAACAAAUCUUGCACCAGGCCUGUAAUCAGCAAGCUGAGGCAGGAGUAUCACAAAUUCAAGGCCAAUCUAGGCAACUUAGUGAGACACUGUCUCAAAAACUUAAAAAGGUUGGAGUUACAGCUAGUGGGAGAAUUCUCGCUAAGCAAGCACAAGGCCUUGUGUUUAAUGCCCAGUUUAAAAAAAAAAAAAAUCUGCACACAACAACAAACAAUUUUGAAAAGUAAAUGCAUUACUAGGUUAUAUUCUCAGGUCACACUACAAUACAAUUAAAAGUAACUUUAAAUUGCCAAUAACAAAAACAAAAACCACAGAACAACCUUUACUUGGAAUGUACACAGCCACCUAAAUAAAGAGAAAAUAAAAGCAAAAUUAUAAUCUAAUAAUUCAUGCCAAAAUGUUUAGGGUGCUGUUAGGCUAUAAUUAGGUGGAAAUGUAUAAUCUUAAAUAUCUUUAUUGUGAAAAAAAAUGGAAACUAGUACUUUUAAUUAAGAUAAGGAAAAGAACGAAGUUAAAACAUAGAAAACAGAUACAAAUUAAAGUUGAAAUUAAUGAAAAUAUUUUAAACAUUGAAAAGAAAUUCAAAUAAUGUAUAUAAAUCCUGAAGUUGUUAUUUGAAAAUGUCAACAAAAUUAACUCUCUUGAGAAACAAUUAAGGAAGCAUGAGCAAUGGCUUGUUAUUAAGUGUACUUGUCUAAUGAUCCCUCAGUAAGAAGGUGUGGGGGCCCCUAAUUCACACUAUUAAUAAACUAAUUCCAGAUGCUUUGACAAGCUGCUAUUAGGCAAAGCCUGUCACCUUGACCAUCCUACACACACACAGAUAUCACCACUACCCAAUAUUUCAUCAUCUAAACUCAUUUAAUCCUUUGAAAUUGUUUCUCCCAUCAGCUAAUAUCCCUUCCAGGUACAUAAAUCCACUUUGUUACUUUUCACAUUCUUAAUUCUGCUUUACAAAAGAUAAUGCCAAGAGAAUGAGAAGGCAACACAGACUAAGAAAAUAUUUGCAAAAGCCACAUCUAAAAACAUCUAUAUCCAAAAUAUAUAAAUAAUUCUUAAAACUCAAUAGCAAGAAAUUGAACAAUCCAAUUUAAAAGGGGCUAAUGAUUUGGGUAGAUGUCUCACCAAAAAUAUACAGGUGGAAAACAAGAAGAUGCCACUGAGUACUUACUAGAAUGACCCAAAUCCAAAAAUACAACAAAUGUUGAUGAGGAUGUGGAGCCAAAGGAACCCUCAUUCAUUGUUGAUGAGAAUGCAAACCAGACUAGACACCUCGGAAGAUGGCAUGGCAGUUUGCUACAAAACAUACUGUUACAUAUGAUCCAGCAAUUGCCCUCUUUGGUAAACUGACAAAACCUGAAAGCAACCAAAAUAUCCUUCAGAAGGGGAAUGGAUAAAUCAACUGUGGUACAUCCAGCCAGUAGAAUACUUAGCACUAAAAAGACAUGAAUAAAAAGCCAUGGAGGAAGCCUACAUGCGUGUUGGUAAUGGAAGGAAGCCAGUACGAGGCAGCAAUGUAGUGCAUGAUUCCAGCUCUAAAUAAAACUAUGGAGAUGAUGAAAAGAUCAGUGGGUGCCAGGGGCUGCAGGGUGGGGAGGGAGGAACAGGCAGAGCAGAGAGUUUUCAGAGCCGUGAAGCUGCUGGCACAGGACCCUGUAAUACCUGUCAUUAUACAAUUGUCCAGACCCAUGGAGUAAAGCCCAAGUAAACUAUGGCCUUGGGUGAUAAUGAUAUGUCAAUGCAGGUCAAUUGGUUAUGACAAAUGUACCAUUCUGGUGCAGGACAUCAGUACAGGGAGGCUGAAUGCAUGGAAGUAAGUGGUGUAUGGGAACUAUGUCCUGCUCAACUUUGCUGUCCUCUAAGAAAGUAAACAAACAAAAAAUACUUAACCCUCUUUUUUCAAGUGUUCCCUGAUCCUUUGUUGACAAUCACUUACUUAAACUCUUGUCAUCUCAUAUACAGGCAAACAGUUUACCUUGUAUGAAUGAGUAUAAGGCCCAUCUCCACCAGUGCCUUGGAAAGGAAGGUUCUUCCCGAGUCACAGUGCCAUGCACCCAGAGCAUUGCUUGGACAGAUGUCCUGAUUUCAGUCACUUACCAGAACAAAUUCUAAAAAUGGGCAAGAAGUCUGAGAAGAUUGUUUUAAAAGGGACUAGCUUGUGGUCAGAGAGCCAAUGCUGACUGGUGAGUACGCUACUAAGCACUCUACUUCCACUAUGUUUCAGAACAUCGGUAAUGAAACCAUAGGUCAUACGAAGAAGUCCUUAUGGUAGCAUCACAGCAGACCAAAAAAAAAAAAAAA